ensembl:ncRNA F10F2.10 ncRNA
GAGCUGAUAAGAAUUGCAAUUUACUGUUUUUAUGUGUUUUUCAGUGGUGUCGUUGACAUUGUGAAGCAUAACAAGGUUGAGAAUAGACAGGUAAUUGAUA